GGGUCGGUACCAAAGCGGUCAACUGGGGCAGACUGUAAAUCUGCUGGCAUACGCCUUCGGGGGUUCGAAUCCCUCCCGGCCCACCA
rnacentral:tRNA from 1 species